CUCAUAAUUCCAGAAGGAUUUCAGUUCAUCACCACGGGGAGGGCAAGGUGGUGGGCACGCAUGGUAAAGAGCCUCACACUGGGCCUGGAGCAAGAAGCAGAACACAGAGGUCGGAACCAGAAGGCCCACCUUUAAUGACAUAGCUUCACCAGGUGAUGUUGAUCGUGGCGUCAGAACAGUAGCAUUGUUACGAACUGGGUGUUUCCACUGUCUCUCUUCUCUCCGGUUUGUAUGUUGAAAUUCUGACCUCCAGUGAGAGAGGGAAGAAGAAAAAGAAAAAUAGAAAACAGAGACUAGAGAGUGAAUGACAAAAAUCCAAAUCAAGAUUGCAACCUCGAGGAGAUAUUGUGGGCAUUAUAUGUGGAGCGGUGGUGUCAAACUCACAGAAGCUGGGGAGGGGAGCCCACAGCAUUGUGUGAGCUGCGUGGAGCCUCAGCAUGUUCACAUCCAGGAGAAACCUAGCAACCACCAGUUCAAGCUCUGUUCUGAGAGGAGGAAGUGAAAAAUGAGGAGGAAAGAUAACUCUUACUACACAGCCAGGGAGAUCAGAGUCCCAGUCUCUAAAACACAGAGGCUCCUGCUUAACCUGUUUCUCUACCUAUGGAUUCAGCUACCCACGGUCAACAAUGGUCCUGAAUAUUAAGUGGGAAAUUCAAAAAAUAAAUAGUUCACGUGUUUCAGAUGA